rnacentral:rRNA from 1 species
GACGACGCUGGCGGCGUGCUUAAAACAUGCAAGUCGAACGGACUUCUCAUGAAGCUUGCGAUUGAGAAGUUAGUGGCGGACGGGUGAGUAACGCGUGGGCAACCUGCCCCUGAGCCCGGGAUAACAGUUCGAAAAGGACUGCUAAGACCGGAUAUACUUGCGGUGAAGCAUUUCACUGCAAGGAAAGGGAACGCUCAGGGAUGGGCCCGCGUCCCAUUAGCUAGUUGGUGAGGUAACGGCCCACCAAGGCGACGAUGGGUAGCCGGCCUGAGAGGGUGAACGGCCACACUGGGACUGAGACACGGCCCAGACUCCUACGGGAGGCAGCAGUUGGGAAUCUUCGGCAAUGGGCGCAAGCCUGACCGAGCAACGCCGCGUGAGUGAUGAAGGUUUUCGGAUUGUAAAGCUCUGUCUUCCGGGACGAUAAUGACGGUACCGGAGGAGGAAGCCACGGCUAACUACGUG